GGGGGUAUGGCGAAAUGGUAGACGCUACGGACUUAAAAUCCGUUGGUUUUUUAGAACUGUGAGGGUUCAAAUCCCUCUACCCCCA
rnacentral:tRNA from 3 species